UAUGGUCUCCAUCAAAAUGCCCACCGUGAUUUUCUGCCGCAUCUCGCUGCGAUUGAUGCCCAACCAACGUCAUCGAGUGCUCUAACACCCCCACACGAACUCCGGCGUCGCGGCUCCGAUUCCGGCGAAGGCGCCGAACGGAUCUGAUCUCCCCGAUCGCGGCGGGAGCUAUCGAUGGCGUACCUGCUGAACACCCUCCGGCAGAAGCGGGAGGUGGAUUCCGCCGUCAGGGACACCAUCGACAAGGUCCUCGUCCUCCGCUUCGGCCGCGCCUCCGACGCCGUCUGCCUCCAGCUCGACGACAUCCUCGCGAAAUCGGCGAGGGAGGUGUCCAAGUUCGCGGCGGUGGCGCUCGUGGAUGUCGAUUCGGAGGACGUGCAAGUCUACGUCAAGUACUUCGACGUUACUCUGAUUCCGUCCACUGUUUUCUUCGUCAACGCGCACCAUAUGAAGAUGGACUCCGGUACUGCAGAUCAUACAAAAUGGGUCGGUGCGUUUCACAGAAAACAAGACUUCAUUGAUGUCGUAGAGAAUCAUAAAGAUGAAUAUGGCUUGAUAACUUUCUGGACUACUAAGCUCUACCUGCUUGAGCAUGGUGGAAUAAGUACCCUGUAGGGGACAUGUAAAGAUGUAUGUGGCCCUAAAGUUUCUCAGCUGAUGACAGUGAACCAAGUGGACAUCCUGAGUACAGAGAGUCAAAGGACAGAAAGGCUAUUUACAGGGGUGCCAUGAAGGGCAAGCUUAUCGUGAACUGUCCCCUUCCACCAGAGAGAAUACCGAGAUAUCAGUUGCUGUACAAAGACAUAUAAAUAGCGCAUUUCAUCAAUGUCUUUUUCUCGUGUUAUACAUAUGAAGUUCGCAUGACCCACCUGCAUUCUUGAUUUAUAAAUUGCAAUUAACAUUCACCA